GAUGAACGCUGGCGGCGUGCCUAAUACAUGCAAGUCGAGCGAACAGAUGAGGAGCUUGCUCCUCUGACGUUAGCGGCGGACGGGUGAGUAAAACGUGGAUAACCUACCUAUAAGACUGGGAUAACUUCGGGAAACCGGAGCUAAUACCGGAUAAUAUAUUGAACCGCAUGGUUCAAUAGUGAAAGACGGUUUUGCUGUCACUUAUAGAUGGAUCCGCGCCGCAUUAGCUAGUUGGUAAGGUAACGGCUUACCAAGGCGACGAUGCGUAGCCGACCUGAGAGGGUGAUCGGCCACACUGGAACUGAGACACGGUCCAGACUCCUACGGGAGGCAGCAGUAGGGAAUCUUCCGCAAUGGGCGAAAGCCUGACGGAGCAACGCCGCGUGAGUGAUGAAGGUCUUCGGAUCGUAAAACUCUGUUAUUAGGGAAGAACAAAUGUGUAAGUAACUAUGCACGUCUUGACGGUACCUAAUCAGAAAGCCACGGCUAACUACGUG
rnacentral:rRNA from 1 species